UAGAUACUCCCUCCGUCCGAAAAUAGUUGUCAUCAAAAUGGAUAAAAAAAGAUGUAUCUUAAACUAAAGUACGUCUAGAUACAUCCCCUCUUAUCCAUUUUGAUGACAAGUAUUUCCGGACGGAGGGAGUAGUCA
rfam:Triticum aestivum genome assembly, contig: Triticum_aestivum_CS42_TGACv1_scaffold_576803_7BL